rnacentral:ribozyme from 11 species
CUUCGCUUUCUGUUUCUCUGCUUGCUUUCUGUCCUUUUCCUCUACCCCCUCUUUCACCUUGUCUGAUUUUGACAGAGACGGAGAGGAAGACAGAGAAGGCGCA